rnacentral:lncRNA from 1 species
CUGGAAGCCCGGAGCCUCAGCGCUCGCCCCUGCUCGCCAGGUGCUGCCCCCUCGGAGAGCCACAGUCUCGGAGCUGACGGACCUGGGGAGCGUGAGGCGGAGCCGAGCCUGGAGUCCCCAGCAACUGGUUCUGGGUUCGAGGCUUGGACAGGCCGGCACCCCAGCCCGGCACCCGCGGUGUAGUUGUCCGCGACGUCAACCCGUGGUGCCUAAGUGUCUAGAGAGCUGAGUGGGUUGCCUCGGAUCGGCCAGGCCUGGAUAUCAGCGAACAGAUGCGGAUUUCCACCAGGGGGCGCUAGGACGCCACGACCUUUCACUAUGUGCACCAGGGGGCGCUGCCGCCCGCCUUGGCCAUCCCGGGCUGGGAAGUCCGACCCUUCGAUUAAGCCCCGCCUGAUUGGGAAAGGCUCUGAGAAACUAUUUGCAUGAUCUUGAAAGAGCUGUGCUGAAUGGUUGAGGUAGGUAAGCCGAAUGUGAAACAGGCUCUCUCAUUGGCCUAAAUUCCCCCCCUCGAUCUGCGUCGCCAUCCCGGCCCUGCUGGACCCCGGGGUCAGUAGGAAGCCGCGGGGU